GCAAACGUGGGGUAGUGGUAACCUGGGUCGUUGCCAUACAAGCACCCUCUCGACCCGCUCCGAGUUCGAUUCUCGGCGUUUGCA